GAUGAACGCUGGCGGCGUGCCUAACACAUGCAAGUCGAGCGAUUUACUUCGGUAAAGAGCGGCGGACGGGUGAGUAACGCGUGGGUAACCUGCCCUGUACACACGGAUAACAUACCGAAAGGUAUGCUAAUACGAGAUAAUAUGCUUUUAUCGCAUGGUAGAAGUAUCAAAGCUUUUGCGGUACAGGAUGGACCCGCGUCUGAUUAGCUAGUUGGUAAGGUAACGGCUUACCAAGGCGACGAUCAGUAGCCGACCUGAGAGGGUGAUCGGCCACAUUGGAACUGAGACACGGUCCAAACUCCUACGGGAGGCAGCAGUGGGGAAUAUUGCACAAUGGGCGAAAGCCUGAUGCAGCAACGCCGCGUGAGCGAUGAAGGCCUUCGGGUCGUAAAGCUCUGUCUUCAGGGACGAUAAUGACGGUACCUGAGGAGGAAGCCACGGCUAACUACGUGCCAGCCGCCGCCGUAC
rnacentral:rRNA from 1 species